rnacentral:snRNA from 1 species
GUGCUUGCUUCAGUAGCACAUACACUGAAAUUGGAAUGAUACAGUUGCUCAAGGAUGAUGCACAAAUUUGUGAUGUGUUCCAUACUUUU